rnacentral:rRNA from 1 species
GAUGAACGCUGGCGGCGUGCCUAAUACAUGCAAGUCGAGCGAACGGACGAGAAGCUUGCUUCUCUGAUGUUAGCGGCGGACGGGUGAGUAACACGUGGAUAACCUACCUAUAAGACUGGGAUAACUUCGGGAAACCGGAGCUAAUACCGGAUGAUAUUUUGAACCGCAUGGUUCAAAAGUGAAAGACGGUCUUGCUGUCACUUAUAGAUGGAUCCGCGCUGCAUUAGCUAGUUGGUAAGGUAACGGCUUACCAAGGCAACGAUGCAUAGCCGACCUGAGAGGGUGAUCGGCCACACUGGAACUGAGAUACGGUCCAGACUCCUACGGGAGGCAGCAGUAGGGAAUCUUCCGCAAUGGGCGAAAGCCUGACGGAGCAACGCCGCGUGAGUGAUGAAGGUCUUCGGAUCGUAAAACUCUGUUAUUAGGGAAGAACAUAUGUGUAAGUAACUGUGCACAUCUUGACGGUACCUAAUCAGAAAGCCACGGCUAACUACGUG